ACAUCUCCUUCAUCCUCGUCGCUGCCGCGCCACGAUGGGCAGGUCGUGCACCACCACGGACGCUGCUCACCGGCGGACGUUCUCUAUAUACAGUGCCGUCGAAGCUGCUUCAUGGCCGCGUCUCGCUGCGAUGCUCAGCCCCUGCCGUCCUGCCAACAUUGACUCCGCUCCGGCCAUCUUCUUUGACCCCGGCGAGCUGCCUGCGUCACUCCUCGCCCGGUAUGUCCACCUCGCCGCUCCUACCAGCCCCUCGCUGCGUUGCUCCGCGACGCCAUUUGUGGCGCUCGCCGCACCAUGGUCACGUGCAG
rnacentral:misc_RNA from 1 species